UGGUAGUCCGCAACCGAAGCGCAACCCCUACUUGUUAGUUGCCAUCAUUCAGUUGGGCACUCUAGCGAGACUGCCGGUAAUAAACCGGAGGAAGGUGGGGAUGACGUCAAAUCAUCAUGCCCCUUAUGACCUGGGCUACACACGUGCUACAAUGGUUGGUACAACGAGUUGCGAGUCGGUGACGGCGAGCUAAUCUCUUAAAGCCAAUCUCAGUUCGGAUUGUAGGCUGCAACUCGCCUACAUGAAGUCGGAAUCGCUAGUAAUCGCGGAUUAGCACGCCGCGGUCGAAUACGUUCCGGGCCUU
rnacentral:rRNA from 1 species